rnacentral:rRNA from 1 species
CAGCCGCCGCGGUAAUACGGAGGGGGCUAGCGUUGUACGGAAUUACUGGGCGUAAAGCGUACGUAGGCGGCUUUGUAAGUUAGAGGUGAAAGCCUGGUGCUCAACACCAGAACUGCCUUUAAGACUGCAUCGCUUGAACGUCGGAGAGGUGAGUGGAAUUCCGAGUGUAGAGGUGAAAUUCGUAGAUAUUCGGAAGAACACCAGUGGCGAAGGCGGCUCACUGGACGACUGUUGACGCUGAGGUACGAAAGCGUGGGGAGCAAACAGGAUUAGAUACCCCCGUAGUCCCUGUCUCUUAUAC